GCCAUUAGGGUCCGCAGCGCCCGCGGCCGCCUCCCACACCUCAGUGCCCCCGCCCCCCGGGGCUCCCCAGUCUCCGCGCCUCCUCUCUGCUCCUCUCCCCCGGCCUCCGGCAGCCGGGAGCCGCGCGCGGACCCUCGGAGACCAUGUCCUGACUGAGGGGAGAGGGCGGAGGCGGCAGCAGCGGGGCGGGCGGCGGCGCGAAGGGAGGCGGAGAGGGGCCGGGCUCGACUCGUAGCCGCGGGCUGCGCGGGGAGUCGCCGCUGCCGCCGCCGCCGCCGCCGCCGCCGCCGCCGCCAAGCGCCCGUCGGACGGGGAGGAGGAGCAGGAGCUGGAGGAGGAGCCGCCGCCGCCAGCUUCCUGCCUGACACAGCUCACUUCAAGAAGUGCACAAUGUCAGAACGUGGAAUUAAGUGGGCUUGUGAAUAUUGUACGUAUGAAAACUGGCCAUCUGCAAUCAAGUGUACUAUGUGUCGUGCCCAAAGACCUAGUGGAACAAUUAUUACAGAAGAUCCAUUUAAAAGUGGUUCAAGUGAUGUUGGUAGAGAUUGGGAUCCUUCCAGCACCGAAGGAGGAAGUAGUCCUUUGAUAUGUCCAGACUCUAGUGCAAGACCAAGGGUGAAAUCUUCGUAUAGCAUGGAAAAUGCAAAUAAGUGGUCAUGCCACAUGUGUACAUAUUUGAACUGGCCAAGAGCAAUCAGAUGUACCCAGUGCUUAUCCCAACGUAGGACCAGGAGUCCUACAGAAUCUCCUCAGUCCUCAGGAUCUGGCUCAAGACCAG
rnacentral:lncRNA from 1 species